rnacentral:rRNA from 1 species
AGAGUUUGAUCAUGGCUCAGGAUGAACGUUGGCGGCGUGCCUAAUACAUGCAAGUCGAACGAAGACUGUAGUAUACUGUCUUAGUGGCGAACGGGUGAGUAACGCGUGGGUGACCUGCCCCGAAGUGUGGGAUAACAGUCCGAAAGGAUUGCUAAUACUGCAUAAUAUCCAAGAGAUUAGAUGCUUUUGGAUUAAAAGGAGUAAUUCGCUUCGGGAGGGGCCCGCGUCCCAUCAGCUAGUUGGUAAGGUAAUGGCUUACCAAGGCGAUGACGGGUAGGGGACCUGAGAGGGUGGCCCCCCACAAUGGAACUGAAACACGGUCCAUACACCUACGGGUGGCAGCAGUAGGGAAUAUUAGUAAUGGGCGAAAGCCUGAACUAGCAACGCCGCGUGUGCGAAGAAGGCCUUCGGGUCGUAAAGCACUUUUUGAGAGGAUGAGGAAGGACGGUACUCUCAGAAUAAGUCUCGGCUAACUACGUG